GCUUUUUGCCUUUCGCCCUAACAGUGCUAGCUGGACCUCUACGACAAAUUCAUCUUCCGAUCCAACUUCCUGCCUCCUUGUGAAUUGCUUCGAAUAACAACCAUUACGACCGCAAAGUUAUAAUGCAUGUCAAUGGGCUGGCCAGUUGGCAGUGCCACCUGACAGUAGGCAGUAAUUAUCGUUACUCUCUCCUAGCCACAGCUUGCCGCGGUCUAUUAUUUAAUUUGCGCAUGGCUGAAGCAUGGCGGAAGUAUUCAAAUAAUAAUAAUAAUAAAACUAAAAUGAAUAAAUUCGAAUUUGUUGCGCCAAUGUCUGCGUCGGCCAUUUACAAUUCAUUGUGUAUACGUGAUGUUGUACAAUUUUAUUGCUGCAUAUUUUGACAGACGGGUCGUUUAUUUUUGUUGUUUACAUAUAUUUAUUUUUAUUAAUGUUUGUUUUUUAUGCAACAAUAAAUGCCACUGGAGUUAAGUAAAUCGAUUCCUAAUAUAGAUUUCAACCCGAUUUUGACCAGUUUAAUAAAGAUACUAGACCUUCA